rnacentral:rRNA from 1 species
GUGGGGAAUAUUGGACAAUGGGCGAAAGCCUGAUCCAGCCAUGCCGCGUGUGUGAAGAAGGUCUUCGGAUUGUAAAGCACUUUAAGUUGGGAGGAAGGGCAGUAAGUUAAUACCUUGCUGUUUUGACGUUACCGACAGAAUAAGCACCGGCUAACUUCGUGCCAGCAGCCGCGGUAAUACGAAGGGUGCAAGCGUUAAUCGGAAUUACUGGGCGUAAAGCGCGCGUAGGUGGUUUUGUAAGUUGGAGGUGAAAUCCCCGGGCUCAACCUGGGAACUUCCUGCAAAACUGCAUGACUAGAGUACGGUAGAGGGUAGUGGAAUGUCCUGUGUAGCGGUGAAAUGCGUAGAUAUAGGAAGGAACACCAGUGGCGAAGGCGACUACCUGGACUGAUACUGACACUGAGGUGCGAAAGCGUGGGGAGCAAACAGGAUUAGAUACCCGAGUAGUCC